rnacentral:tmRNA from 1 species
GGGGGUGUAACGGUUUCGACGGGGGCGUGGAGGCAGGAAUAGCGGGCGGAUGCGCCUACCAUCCUUAAAAUGGGCAAACCUUAUAAAUCAAAUAACAAGAACGAUCUUCUUGUCGCUGCUUAAUUAGCAGCCGUUCCGCCCGGGAGUACCACGGCCCGGGACGGAGCGUCGAUGAGUGGUGAACGUGAGCGCGCAAAGCUUUGAGCGCGCCAUGCACAAUGAAGCUACCGAGUCUCUGAGGGUGACGGCUCCCGCUCAGAUGAGGGAAUCUCAAUAAACCGCCUGCGCCCGGAGAAGUUCCUGUUAAAAUGCUUUCGGACAGGGGUUCAACUCCCCUCACCUCCACCA